UGGGGAAUCUUGCACAAUGGGGGAAACCCUGAUGCAGCGACGCCGCGUGAACGAUGAAGCCCUUCGGGGUGUAAAGUUCUUUCGACAGGAACGAUAAUGACGGUACCUGGAGAAGAAGCUGCGGCUAACUACGUGCCAGCAGCCGCGGUAAUACGUAGGCAGCGAGCGUGGUUCGGAGUUACUGGGCGUAAAGAGUGCGUAGGCGGCGAGCCAAGUUUGGUGGGAAAUCUCCCGGCUUAACCGGGAGGGUGCGCCGAAAACUGGUUGGCUGGAGUUUGGGAGAGGAAAGCGGAAUUCCUGGUGUAGCGGUGAAAUGCGUAGAUAUCAGGAGGAACACCUGCGGUGUAGACAGCUUUCUGGACCAACACUGACUCUGAGGCACGAAAGCGUGGGUAGC
rnacentral:rRNA from 1 species